GAAUGAACACAGCUCUUUUAAAAUUUUUCUAGCAGGUUUUUCUGACUUUGUUUGGAAAACCCAG